rnacentral:rRNA from 1 species
GACAGAGGGUGCAAGCGUUGUUCGGAAUCAUUUGGGCGUAAAGCGCACGUAGGCGGCCUCGUAAGUCGGGGUGUGAAGGCCCACGGCUCAACCGUGGAAGUGCAUUCGAAACUGUGAGGCUUGAAUCUCGAAGAGGGUGGUGGAAUUCCCCAGUGUAGAGGUGAAAUUCGUGGAGAUUGGGAGGAACACCGGUGGCGAAGGCGACCACCUGGUCGAAGAUUGACGCUGAGGUGCGAAAGCGUGGGUAGCAAACAGG